CAGCAUCAUAUGCUGGCUGUCNNGGUGUNUAAAAUACACCUGUUAGCAAGGGCCGGNCAAGACCGGUGCCAGCCGCCGCGGUAACACCGGCGGCCCGAGUGGUGAUCGUGAUNAUUGGGUCUAAAGGGUCCGUAGCCGGUUUGGUCAGUCCUCCGGGAAAUCUGAUAGCUCAACUAUUAGGCUUUCGGGGGAUACUGCNAGACUUGGAACCGGGAGAGGUAAGAGGUACUACAGGGGUAGGAGUGAAAUCGUAAUCCCUGUGGGACCACCUGUGGCGAAGGCGUCUUACCAGAACGGGUUCGACGGUGAGGGACGAAAGCUGGGGGCACGAACCGGAUUAGAUACCCGGGUAGUCCCAG
rnacentral:rRNA from 1 species